CAGCCUAACAGCGAUGUUAUUUACUGAAGCCAGGUUAGCUUCCAUUUUCCUGUAGCUCUCACGUUCAUACUUCACAUGACAGGGCUGCUCCACUGAUUUUACACAUGAGGGUCAGUUCUCUGACUGCGGACAGAUCCACUCAGGUGUGGAGAGGGUUUCAUAACAUCUCCUGUGGCUGUGGAGGAGCUGAGAAAACCUGGACAUCGACACAGCUGUGGACUUGGAGACUCCAAUUUAUUAAAGCUGCAGGUUAGAACAAGAGACGGAAACAAAUCUGAUGUGGCAGAGCGUCAUGCAUCAUGUGAGAGAAGAGGAUGAGGAAGUGAGGAGACCUAUGUCGCUGGAAAACUGCCAAACAAGCCCAGCGUAUUAAGAACGACUGAUAAUGGCGACCACAGUGGAUAGAGCUGUUCCUGUUCUCUGCUGGGCAGCAGAUGCCAAGCUGGCUGGAGGUGGAAGACACAUGGCGUCAUGACUCCUCCAGCCCUGCAGGGGGCUUCGCACAGUCUCACAUUUCUUCACCAGGUUCAGUGCUACUCAUCCUUACUCACUGUGUU